AUACACGUUCUGAUAAGAAAUUUUCGAUGCCACAUUUUUCAGCCGACUGGUGAACAAUACUUUGCUUCCAUUUUUGUCAUCUGGAAAUAACCUUUUCAAAUCUUCCCACGCUUCUUUAUCCCAUAGAUCGUCCAUAACAAUGAGGUAUCUUCUACCCUUUAAACUUUUGUAAAUAUGUUCGUCCAACUCUUCAUCUUCCAUUUUUGAAUUAUCGUCUUUUUUAAGGUUACUCAAGGAGCUCCAAAUAUCGUUCAAUAGCUUUUUCUUAUAAGUUUGACUAACAGCACACCAAGAAAGCUUAUCAAAAUAGUACCGAACGUUGGAAUGAUCGUAUAUUUUCUUUGCUAGAGUUGUCUUGCCAAGUCCACCCAUUCCGACGAUGGAAAUAAUCUGGAGGUAGUUUGGUCCUCCAACAAGCUUGCUAACAAUUUGUGUUAUCGUGUCCUCUAAGCCCACAAUGAUCUCUUCCACCAUGGGAAUGCUUUUAUCUUAGGAUGACGAUACUUCACUUGGACUUUCUGCAACUUGUAGGCUUCCAAUUCCAACUUCACUUGACACUGCAAUGCUGUAAUAUUUAAUCUUCAAUAGAACACUCUCAAUCCUUUCUAACAGAACAAAAAUUGCUAGAUCCAUUUUGGUGGAGGUAACAAGAUCUAUGGUGAAAAAGAAAGAAUGCAAGAAAAGUCCUGCUUCAUUAAAUACAGCUUCAAUUUCUGUGAAUAUACUCUUCUUCUAUUCUUCCUCAUCGCUUGGAAUUGGAUAAUCAAGAAAGGUGA
rnacentral:lncRNA from 1 species